rnacentral:rRNA from 1 species
CCUACGGGAGGCAGCAGUGGGGAAUAUUGCACAAUGGGGGAAACCCUGAUGCAGCGACGCCGCGUGAGUGAAGAAGUAAUUCGUUAUGUAAAGCUCUAUCAGCAGGGAAGAAAAUGACGGUACCUGAGUAAGAAGCCCCGGCUAACUACGUGCCAGCAGCCGCGGCAAUACGUCGGGGGCAAGCGUUAUCCGGAUUUACUGGGUGUAAAGGGGGCGUAGGCGGCAGUGCAAGUCUGGAGUGAAAGGCGGGGGCUCAACCCCCGGACUGCUUUGGAAACUGUACGGCUGGAGUGCAGGGGAGGUAAGUGGAAUUCCGAGUGUAGCGGUGAAAUGCGUAGAUAUUAGGAAGAACACC